rnacentral:ncRNA from 1 species
CAUGUGAUAUUCGGAUUUUGUUUUUGUGAGAGGUCACUCAGUAUUAUAGACUCUAGUUCCAUCCAGGUUGCAGCGAAAUUCAUGAUUUUGUUCUUUUUUAUGGCUGCAUAGUAUUCCAUCGCGUAUAUGUACCACAUUUUUUUAAUCCAGUCCUCUUUUGAUGGGCAGCAUGGUUGUUUCCAGGUUCUUGCUAUUGUGAACAAUGCUGCGAUAAACCCCGCCUCGGCCGGCGCCUAGCAGCCGACUUAGAACUGGUGCGGACCAGGGGAAUCCGACUGUUUAAUUAAAACAGAGCAUCGCGAAGGCCCGCGGCGGGUGUUGACGCGAUGUGAUUUCUGCCCAGUGCUCUGAAUGUCAAAGUGAAGAAAUUCAAUGAAGGGCGUGUAAACGGCGGGAGUAACUAUGAAAUAGGAAUUUAGAAUAAGAAUUUAGAAUAAGAAAUUAAUGUUUUCUUUUG